rnacentral:lncRNA from 1 species
GGAGGAAUUAGUGGUGGAGGUUAGGAACUUGCUGUCUAACAUUACUUUGCAGGAUUUUGAGGCAGAUGUGUGGAUUUGGCGACCAGAUAUUACUGAUGGUUACACUGUUCGCGGCGUGUAUCAAAUGUUGAGGCAUUCGUGAUGUCGUUUCAGAUGCUUCCUGGCACAAAAAUGUUCCUUUGAAAGUCUCUAUUUCUGCGUGGCGUCUAUUUCGCGAUAGAUGGCUGUCGCGUCAUUUUUCGGAGAUCAAGGCUAU